ACGAAGGGUGCAAGCGUUACUCGGAAUUACUGGGCGUAAAGCGUGCGUAGGUGGUUCGUUAAGUCUGAUGUGAAAGCCCUGGGCUCAACCUGGGAAUGGCAUUGGAUACUGGCGACCUAGAGUGCGGUAGAGGGGGGUGGAAUUCCGCGUGUAGCAGUGAAAUGCGUAGAGAUGCGGAGGAACACCGAUGGCGAAGGCAGCCCCCUGGGCUGACACUGACGCCCAGGCACGAAAGCGUGGGGAGCAAACAGGA
rnacentral:rRNA from 1 species